GGUAACAUAUUAAACUAGGACAAUAACUAUGGACUAUAACUAUUGACAAUCAUGCGAUUAAUUGCGAUUAAAUAUUUUAAUCGAUAGACAGACCUAAUAAAGACUAAAGGUGCGGAGGUACCCUCCGUAGAGCUGAGGGACCGCAGAGUCAUGAUGGAUUCGUCACUACCAGCGACACCUUUCACUUUACACAUAAUCAUUUGAUCCAUUGUUAAAAUUGAAAUAUUGAUUGGUGCAUCGCCAAGGGCACAGAUUUUGUUUGUUUUGUAUUUUUCAGGUCUGACUUACAGCUUUGGUGUGUAAUAACCGUUGAUGGGGAUGAAGUAUGAGGCAGCACACAUUAUAUUCAUUCUCUGUAGCGAAGGGUGUCUCAACUCUUGUUUUUUUUCUUGUGUCUGGAAUCGUUUUGACCUGUAAUCCCCAAGAUUAUAGUGGCUAAACUGCCCACUGUGUGUUUCCAUGCUCUUUAUCAACUCCUGGUAUGCGAGGCUGAGAGGACUGCUGGCCUCUGGAUGCCCUUAGCCUGACAUUCAGGGAUCACAGGGGUAGCUCGCUGUGCGCGGGUAUAUGUGUGUGUGUCGGUGUGUGUCUGCUUGAGCAUCCGAUGCCCUUGGGGCGGAGACCAGAUCCUAGGAGGUAACAGUAGGUCAGAAGUCACUGCAAUUAGGGAGCAGUUGGAACCAUUAAUUAGCCGAUAUAUCACUUACUCUAUUGUUGAUAAGCUGGAAAUAACCUCUGGACAACUUCCCCCCCCUCAUCAUAUUCCUAUUAGUCUUACGUUGUGCUAAUAAUUGCCACCCACCGUUUUAGUCCUCCACCUUAAGUAACCCAAAAGCUGGACAAGGAUGACAUAACACUUAGAAAUGAUAAUGGCAGAAAAAUAACAAAUAAGUACGCAUGGCGUCGAGAAAAACUCUUUCAACUCCGUGCCCCGUCUUCAGGCAACGUGUCUCCUGAAUUCACAUCAGGAUUUUUUUUUUUCUUUCUGAGGGUUUCACCUGUGAUCCGAGCCCGCCUUGAGCAGUUUGAUUUUCCUCUCUGUGCCUCCAAGACAGGCUGUGAACUUUCAAAGGCUGCGAGUAAAGCCGCGGCAAAAAAACUCUGAGAGGGAGGAGGGGGGGAUCUAAGCCUGCGAGGCUCGGGAGCACUGCGGCUGAAAGGGAUGGCGGAUGGGCGGUGGUUGUUUAGAAGCCAUAGAAAUGCGGGUAGUAAUGGGGAUUGACAAGGCCACCCACGUGAGAGAAGGACAGUCUGCUGAGACAGACGAGGGGGACGUGAUGUGCGCGAUUGUGAUUGUGCACCUCUUCAUAGAAACGUCACCAUACCCCCCGUGUGGGGUGAUAUCGUGGCGAGCAACACACCGCCAACCCUUCAGUUCAACGAUAAGGCUCCUCCUGCUGUUGCCGUACCCCUCUAACCCACAACCGGAGGAUAAGCGGGAACACAGUAGCGGCUCCUCAGGAGCAGCAGAGGCCAUUUUGCCGAGCCACCGAGUGAUUGACAGGAGCUGACGAUAAAGGGAGAGAGGAGCGGCGUUGAAGGAUAGCGGCCUCUGUGAUGGAGUGCUCAUGGGGAAGAGUAGCUAUUGAAUCCUCUUUUUAAUCUGUCUGUCAAGGUUAUUGAAAGUGCUGUCUUCGUUAUUGCGUGCCAGCCUUGGACUUGGAGGGGCCAUAAGUAUGAGAACACACCCUGUUCUGGUGGGCAGAUAAACAAGCUGUAAGCAAACACACAUACGAACUGAGACAGACGCACAAACGUGUGUAUAAAGACGCCAAAAUACAUUGUUAUUUAGGGUAGUUUUCAAUUGGAAAACCCCUCCGGUCAAGGCAGAUGGCCACCCACCCAGAGCCGAGUUCUGCCCAAGGUUUCUAUGCGUUCUUGCCACUGUCGCAACAAUGCUCAUGGGGGAUCUCUUGUUGGGUCUCUAAAUUAAAGAGUAUGGUCUAGACCCGCUCUAUAUGAAAAGCGUCUCGAGAUACCUUCUGUUAUGAUUUGACGCUACGUAAUAAUAAAUUUAGUUGAAAAGUUUUUUCUCCAUGCAAAAACAAGCCUGAGUGGAAGGUAAAGAACGGGAUAAACAACAGUGGACAAACCAUUGAUCCCAUCAAGCCCCAGUUUGAUGCACUCUUCAUACCAAUGACUGUUCUCUUUGCCCCGUAUCCCUCCUCCCCCCCAGCCCAGGUUAGACCGAGGGGGCUCCACUCCAAACCAGACCACUCUAUUCAAUCAAUGUUCAUCAGCGGGUCUAGCAAUAAGUUGUCAAUGGGAUCCUCAUUAGGAUUCAAGUAUGCUUUUGAAUAAUAUUGUAUAGUACUGAAUCACGCUGACAGAUGACUGGGUGAGUGGCAGUUGAGAGCUUGUCAUGUCGGGAGUGAAUUUUAAUCAAAAGAGGGGAUAGUGUCAGACAGAAAUUGAUGUCUGUCUCAAACCACUGAUACUGCAUGUUCCUGUUUUGUUUAAUAAUCUAUAGAGGGAGUUUACCUUGCCAUAAUGAGGUUUAUAUAACCUUUUCUACUCUUUUAGUACCUCUUAAGGAUGAGGCUGCCGAUAUUCUAUGUUUUUCUUAUUGCUAAGAGACGUGCAUGAUAUUCUUGUUAGUGACUUUAGACGUAAUUCAUUAAUUGAAAUCUCAAAGAAUCAUUAAGGGCUUGCCUUCAUUUUCAAUGAUGUCCAGAGUACAAUUAAAACAAUACACACAGAAAAUAAUUAACAAUAAAACAAACAGACAAAUCAGAGUUGGAAUCAGUUAAAAUCCAUCCAUCCAUUAUCUGUAACCGCUUAUCUUAUUCAGGGUUGACAUUGAGCAAAGGCGGGGUAUAACCUGGAAAGGUCGCCAAACUAUCACAGGGCUGAUACAUAGAGACAGACACAUUCACACCUACGGGCAAUUUAGCACACAGCAAGAGGGCCGCAGGUUCAAACCCGGCUUGGGAGUUUACAUGUUCUCCCCCUGUUAGCGUGGAUUUCCUCCGGGUACUCAGUUAACGAAAACACAAUGAUUCUUAGUUUCACGUGAUUAUACACUACUGAAAACAUAGUUAUGAAUGCUGUUCCUUUAAGUACGCAAGUUACGUGACAAACGUUGACUUUUCGUUUCACACAGGACUUGGAAGAGUGGUCUCCUGUGUAAAAGUCUGAUGUUUGUUUCACCCAACCACCCGCCCUUUGAGUCCUUUCAUGUGAUUUACUGCCAAGAAACAUAAAUGCAGAAUAUCACCAUCCUUUAAGGACAUGUUUGAAUAAUGUCAGUUUGGAGUGGAAAACUCAUACAAUGAGUGGAAAGCAAACUUUGUGGAAGAAAAAGAUCACCCCCCUGUCCAUUUGUAAUUUCCCGAGCUGUGUGAAUUGCAUGACCAACCAAAUGGAACUAAAUGUAAUUAAGAUCUACUCAAGGUUAAUUUGGUCAGUAAUGGUAUUAAGUAUGUAUGGAGUAGCCUUUUUCUAAAUACCAGUCCAUUAAAUCUGUGUUAUUAAAAGAUGAUGCUGAAAUGAGACCAAGCAUAUACACAUUAAAAAUAAUUAAUUUGUUC